CCAUUUUUCCUUGAGUAAUACGAUGCUAUUUUCGACCGCUAACUUAGAAGAAUAGAAUCCAAUUUGAACUUUGCUGCAGUGUUAGAAUCUCAAGAAGCAAUGGAUCAUACUAAUACAUCAGUAAACUACCAAAAGAAAAAAUUAUCAGCCCUGCCUUUUUGUUGAUAACAAUCUCUGCAUGCGUCCACACUACUACUACUACCCUUAGAUGUACAUUGCUGACUUUCAAAAUAAAUCGACACACACAUCAUACACUGGAAUUGAAAUUUCGUGCCACGUGUUUAUUUCUUAGUAUAGCACCUACGUACUUAAAUCUCUCUUGUUCAUAGUCCGAAACUUUGUGUAUAUAAAUAGAUCACACACAUAAACCUCAACGAUCAGUACAAAUCAAAACAGCAAUAAUGGAGAAGAAAACAGUUGCUGGAUUCUGCAUCUUCUUCCUCGUUCUCUUUCUUGCUCAGGAGGGAGUGGUGAAAACAGAGGCAAAGCUAUGCAACCACCUGGCAGAUACAUACAGAGGACCAUGCUUUACCAAUGCAAGCUGCGAUGAUCAUUGCAAGAACAAAGAGCACUUUGUUAGUGGAACCUGCAUGAAAAUGGCGUGUUGGUGUGCUCACAACUGUUGAUGUAAUAAUAUACUUAGUAAUUAAAUAAUGAUAUGAAUGAUACUCUGUAUGUUGUCAUCAUAUCUAUCCCUUAUAAUUAAUAAUAUGGAUGAUAUGAUAUGAGUUAUCAUAUUAUAUGUACUUUAGUGUGCUAAAUAAAAUUGGGUCUUCUUAACUACAAUUUCAGUUCAUAAA